ACAUGUAAGACUGAAACAAAAUAACUAUAAGAAAACGGAGAGGAAAGUCUUGUUGAUUUUGGUCUCAGUAAAGAUGUUUUGGAUGUCACACCAAAAGCACAGCCUGAAAAAGUAAAACAGCACAGACUGAAAAGGUAAAGAGAAAAAGUAAAGCCUUCAAAUAUAAAGGAGGCUUCAUCUAUUGCUUAAUUUUUCAAAAAGAUUACUACGAUAACAUUCAUCACAUACUUAAUGUUAGAAAUUACACACUUUAAUAUGUAGAUGUUUGUCACAGGGUACAAAGUUUCAGUAAGAAUGAAUAUAUUUUGGAGCUCUAAUUAUAGCAUGGUGACUAUAAUUAACAAUACUGUAUGGUGUAGUGUAUUUGAAGG
rnacentral:lncRNA from 1 species